UCGUCGUCGGACGUACGUCUACGAGAGGGUUUCGAGUUACUGGCUCAGGAUGAACGCUGGCGGCGUGCUUAACACAUGCAAGUCGAACGGAGUAAUAGGAAGUCUCGGACAGAUUAUACUAGUGGCGGACGGGUGAGUAACGCGUGGGUAACCUACCUCAUACAGGGGGAUAACAGUUGGAAACGGCUGCUAACACCGCAUAACAAGUUGGGACCGCAUGAUCCUAACUUCAAAUAUUUAUAGGUAUGAGAUGGGCCCGCGUCUGAUUAGCUAGUUGGUGGGGUAAUGGCCUACCAAGGCGACGAUCAGUAGCCGGCUUGAGAGAGUGACCGGCCACAUUGGGACUGAGACACGGCCCAAACUCCUACGGGAGGCAGCAGUGGGGAAUAUUGGACAAUGGGGGCAACCCUGAUCCAGCCGACGCCGCGUGAGUGAAGAAGUAUUUCGGUAUGUAAAGCUCUAUCAGCAGGGAAGAUAAUGACAGUACCUGACUAAGAAGCCCCGGCUAACUACGUGCCAGCCGCGGC
rnacentral:rRNA from 1 species